rnacentral:rRNA from 1 species
UGGGGAAUAUUGGACAAUGGGCGAAAGCCUGAUCCAGCAAUGCCGCGUGAGUGAUGAAGGCCUUAGGGUUGUAAAGCUCUUUUACCCGGGAUGAUAAUGACAGUACCGGGAGAAUAAGCUCCGGCUAACUCCGUGCCAGCAGCCGCGGUAAUACGGAGGGAGCUAGCGUUAUUCGGAAUUACUGGGCGUAAAGCGCACGUAGGCGGCUUUGUAAGUUAGAGGUGAAAGCCUGGAGCUCAACUCCAGAAUUGCCUUUAAGACUGCAUCGCUUGAAUCCAGGAGAGGUGAGUGGAAUUCCGAGUGUAGAGGUGAAAUUCGUAGAUAUUCGGAAGAACACCAGUGGCGAAGGCGGCUCACUGGACUGGUAUUGACGCUGAGGUGCGAAAGCGUGGGGAGCAACAGGAUUAGAUACCCUGGUAGUCCACGCCGUAACGAUGAUAACUAGCUGUCGGGGCUCUUAGAGCUUCGGUGGCGCAGCU